rnacentral:rRNA from 1 species
CAAUCAUACCUGGGAGUCAGACUGCGACUAAUAAGGGCCGCAGUCAAAAGGGAAACAGCCCAGACCAUCAGCUAAGGUCCCUAAUGCCGUGCUAAGUGGCAAAGGAUGUGGCAUUUCAUAAACAACCAGGAUGUUGGCUCAGAAGCAGCCACCAUUUAAAGAGUGCGUAAUAGCUCACUGGUCGAGAGACGCUGCGCCGAAAAUGUCCGGGGCUCAAGCACGGAACCGAAGCUAUGGCAUGAUAGCAAUAUCAUGGGUAGGGGAGCGUUCUUAUAAGGAAGAAGCAUGACCGGAAGGACAUGUGGACGAAUAAGAAGUGAGAAUGCCGGUAUGAGUAUCGAAAAGAAAGGUGAGAAUCCUUUCCACCGAAAGCCCGAGGGUUCCUGAGCAACGAUCGUCGACUCAGGGUAAGUCGGGACCUAAGCCGAGGCGAGAAGCGUAGGCGAUGGACAACAGGUUGAAAUUCCUGUACCGGAUCAAGUCGAUCGAGCGAAGGAGCGACGCAGGAGGGCACAUGAUCGCGCGGCUGGAAGAGCGCGUCCAAGUGCGUAUGUUGCAGCAGAGGAAAACCCCUGCAGCUAAAAGCAGAGACAUGAUGGGGAGUUAAAGGAAACUUUGACGAACUCAUGAAUCCCACACUGCCAAGAAAAACUUCUAGCGAGACAAGAUCCGCCCGUACCGUAAACCGACACAGGUAGGCGGGGAGAGAAUCCUAAGGUGCGCGGGAAAACCCUCGUUAAGGAACUCGGCAAAUUGCAUCCGUAACCUAGGGAGAAGGAUGGCCCCCGGUCAGUGAAGAGCAGAAACGCUCAGAGCUAAAAGGGGCGGCAGAAAAGAGGCCCAAGCAACUGUUUACCAAAAACACAGGUGCCUGCGAAAGCGAAAGCUGAAGUAUAGGUGCUGACGCCUGCCCGGUGCCGGAAGGUUAAGGAGAGAAGUUAGCGAAAGCGAAGCAUCGAACUUAAGCCCCGGUGAACGGCGGCCGUAACUAUAACGGUCCUAAGGUAGCGAAAUUCCUUGUCGGGUAAGUUCCGACCCGCAUGAAAGGCGUAAUGAUUUGGGCACUGUCUCAACGAGGGGCCCGGUGAAAUUGAAAUACCUGUGAAGAUGCAGGUUACCCGCGACUGGACAGAAAGACCCCAUGGAGCUUCACUGCAGCUUGAGAUUGAAUCCCGGUGACAGAUGCACAGGAUAGGUGGGAGGCGCCGAAGCAUUGCCCUAGGGCGGUGCGGAGCCGAUGUUGGGAUACCACCCUUCUGUUGCUGAGAUUCUAACGCGAGGAGUAACGACCCUGCGGACCCUCUCAGGCAGGCGGUUUGACUGGGGCGGUCGCCUCCGAAAGAGUAACGGAGGCGCCCAAAGGUUCCCUCAGGCCGGACAGAAACCGGCCGAAGAGUGCAAAGGCAGAAGGGAGCUUGACUGCGAGACCAACAAGUCGAGCAGGGACGAAAGUCGG